GAGAGUUCGAGAGAAAGAGAUCGAUACCAGAGAGAGAUAUCGAGUGCUAGAGAUAAUCAUGAGUUAGAGAGAUCAGUUCGACUAAUCUUCCCAUAUUCUUCAUUUGAUUUCAUUCGGAGAUCGAUACCAGAGAGAGAUAUCAAACAAUCAGAGAGCAUCCAAUCAUGCCGGUCCCUCAAACAAUGCAUCAAGUACAGUGGCAUCAGAUUUACAAGUACAAGUACAACCAACAAGUGUGCAAGCUUCUGAAAGUAACACAACACUUGCGAUUCAUCCAAGAGAAGAACAAGAAGUAGAGAAAGAUCUAGAUGUAGCUGAAACAAAGAAGAAACUAAGAACAACAAGGUCUGAUGUAUGGCUUGAAUUUAAUAGACUUGUUAUUAAAAAGGUUGGACCAGAUGGGAAGGAGGUAUCAACUAUUAUAGGUAAAUGCAAACACUGUUUUAAGAGAAUUGAUGCACCAAGCUCAAAUGGAACCAGUGGCUUGAGAUCUCAUCUAAGGACCUGCAAAACGAAGCCAGAGAAUCAACCUGGACAAAGAAAAAUAACUUCUAUCAAAACAGGUAACACACAAACGAAGUUAGCUAAUUGGAAAUAUGAUCCUGAUGCUUCUAGAAUACUUUCUGCUAAGAUGACUGCCAAACAUGAUUAUCCAAUAAAUAUGGGUGAGCAUUCAUAUUUUAGAGAGUAUGUUAGGUCUCUGAAUCCUUCUGCUAAGUGUUACAGUAGGAAUACAACUAGGGAAGAUAUCAUGAAACUGUAUGGUGAGUUCAUAAAGGAAUUACAAGAAUAAUUUGACACAAUAACAUCUAAAUGCAGUUUAACAACAGAUAUGUGGACAUGUAAACAUACAAAAGAUGGUUAUUGUUGUGUUACAAUGCAUUACAUAGAUGAUGAAUGAAAACUAAUUAAGAAAACUCUAGCAUAUAUUUUAUUGCCAUCACCACAUACUGGAGAAGUUCUAGGAGAUUUUGUGAAAUCAGUAGCCCUAGAUUGAAAUAUAGAUAAUAAGCUUUUUGUUGUUGCUGCUGACAAUGCUAGAGCCAAUGAUGUUAUGAUGGCAAAUCUGAAGACUUGGCUUAAGAGUAAGGAUUGUCUAGUUCUUGAAUGGGACUUGUUUCAAAUGAGAUGUAGCAAUCAUAUAUUGCAUUUAAUUGUAGGAUGUGGGAUGGUAGUAGCUACUCCAUUUAUAAAUAGUAUUAGAGAGUGUGUCAAAUACGUCAAGUCAAGUCAGGCUAAAAAAGAGAGGUCUGCAAAUUCUUUAGCACAAGUGAAGCUUCCUGGAAGGUUUGUUGGUUUAGAUCUAGACACCAGAUGGAACUCCAUGUUUUAUAUGCUUAGGGAUGCAAUUGAAUUGAGACAAGGGUUUGUUAGGAUAGCUGAACUGGAUUCAGACUUCACUAUACUACCAAGUUCUCAGGAUUGGCAACAAGGAAUAUAUAUAUGUGAGUGGUUGGCAGUGUUUGAUGCGCUUUCAACUAAAUUUGCUGGGAUUAAAUAACCAACGGCAAAUAUGUAUUAUAAUGGGGUGUAUGAGGUCAAUAAAUGCAUCAAAGGAUGGGAAACUAGUACACAUGAAUAUAUCAGAGAUAUGGCAUUGAAGAUGAGGUCAAAGUUUGAUAGCUAUUGGAAAGAGUGUAACCUGUUGAUGAGCAUUGGAGUGGUUUUAGAUCCUAGGUACAAGGCUAGAUGGGUAGAGUUUGUUUUCAAGAGAUUACAUGGUUCGCAGAAUUAUCAUACUCAUUAUAACAAAUUUCAGAUAGCACUCAACGCACUUUUCUCUUCUUAUGAAAGCAACUCUAUAGUUCCAGAUUAUUUUGGUAAUUCAUCUAGUGGAAUGGGUUCAGCUGGAAUUGAGACUUCUACAACUACAUCAACUAGAAGUGAUUUUGAUUAUGAUGAGUUUAUGAUGGAAAACAGUGAUGUUGAGGUGCAGAAGUCAGAGUUGGAGAAAUACUUGGAGGAACCACUGCUUCCUAAAGGCACUCCCACAGAAGAAUUGAGGUUUGAUAUAUUGAGUUGGUGGAAUAAUCAUGCACCUGAGUACCCAACUCUCGCAAAGAUUGCAAGAGAUGUGUUGGCUGUUCCAGUGACAAGUGUAGCAUCAUAAUCCAUGUUUAGUAAUGGUGGUAGGGUUCUUACAGCUCACAGGAGUUCAUUAGCUCCAGAAUUGGUUCAAGCAUUACUUUGCUUAAGUGAUUGGUUGCCAGAUCUCAAUGACAUUGAUGUACAAAUAAUUUGAAGUUGAAUGUACAAGGAUUAAAGAGGAAGGAAGGACCGGAUGCAGGCAUGCUAAAGCUUCUUAAAUGUUUUUGAAUUUCUUUGUGUUUUUCUUUGCAAGAACAUGUAACUAAGUAAAUUUGGAACAUUGUGUGUGUACACUGUG